AAGAAUAAAAAGACAUACAUCUUAAAUAUUCCAAAGCCAGCAGCUUAGAAACAAAGUUAAACAAUCAAAGUUGUCAACCUAGUAAUCAUAGUUAUCAGCCUACUUUAACAGGAAACAGUGUAUCUACCAAAGCCAAGCAUGAGGCAAACCCAGAAGCCUUAAAUUUCCCGGAAACCCAGCAAGAAUAGAAGAGGCAGCAAGACUUCGUUAACGCCAAGGAGACAGCAUGUACAGUGUGACGCCCGCAAUGCCAAGUAUCCACUGCCCUUCUACAGCUGCAGGUCCCCAGAGCCAACUGUGGCCCACAGACACAAGAGAAACUCAAAGCUAAAGCUUGAAACAUAAGACGGAUGGUCUCUCGCCCAGCCCCACCCACUGUACGAGCACACCCUCCUCUGUCCAGCACAGAGUACUGCACAGGGCACUAGCCAUUCUCCACUUAGCAGCUGUUUGGUUAUUAAGUCAAACACCCCAGUAUUUCAGUAGUUGCCUUCUAGUAACCUCUCGUUUUCUUAUUAAUAGUCUCAAAGUGCCUGAGCAGAGAUGUCGACAAUUCAGAUUUGCUAAGAAGUCCCAGCAGGUUUCCCUUGACUGAAAAGCAAAAGCACGCACCAAAGCGGGCAGCGUGUGGAGGUUCAGUACUGGUUGGUUUCAGGCAUCCUAACGGAGAGUGGCUGAGCCUGCUGAAGGGGAAGAGGAAGAAACCGAGGCCAGAAUGCUGGGCAGAAGCACCCCAGGUCUGGCUGGCUGAGGAAGACGGCGAUGAGCAGGCGUCAUCAUGAGAGGGGAUGAGACUUGAGCUCCUGCCACAGAAUGGGACCAAUGAUGCCCAGUGGCAGCCCACGCCUUUCACCCUAGCAUUCAGAUGCAAGUGGAGCUCUGGUUUUGAGGCCAGCCUGAUCUACACACUGAGCUCCAGACCAGCCAACGCGACACCCUGUCACAAAACAAAAGCUAAAAGCAACAAAAGAGUAAAAGUGGUUAUAUAAUACUACAAAGUCUGGAACCUGAAAGGAGGCCCAGAGCCUGUGCGAGCCACAAGGCCUACAGACAAGGAUCCGUGAGUCAGCACACAGGGAUCCAAGCAAGACCAGCAAGUGCAAGGAAACCGGACGUGAGCAUCGGAAAAAAAGGCAACAGUCUUGGGAAACUCCUAAGCCCACCAUUAAAGGCGGACAGCAGAGAACAAGUGAUUCACCAUCCCUGAGCUAGCAAAGGGUUUUUACUGUAACUGUUUUGUAUUCUAUGUCAGCUUGACAAAAAUUCUGGUAAAUGUGCUAAUUACAGAGGACAGUGGACAUUAAUGUUCUUUCCAGAACAUACCAAUCCCAAAAUAAACUGAGAAUGUACAAGGUAUUGGUCAGAUAAAAUUCUUAUUUUGAGAGGGAAAAACUACUCCCCAUUACUCAGAAGCAGCAUAGAUGAUAUUAGAACCUUGAUUAACCAGGGCGGGGUGACUGAUGAAGUCCAUUGUUUCCCACCCGCUGUCUCCCUUGGGCUAUCUCACUACUCAUUAGCACUUCUGCUUGAGCCCAGGCAGGGAGAUCAAUGGAAGCAAAGUCUUUUGGCUGGCAAUUCCAAAGAGGAAAGUGGGGGAUGGUGACCAAUCAACUGCUCCCGAGGUUAUCUGUGACCUUUGGCCUGGCUACCCCAUCUUGCACUUUGAAACCAAGUAUCUCUGCUCUGCCUGGUAAGAAUGCAUCAUUUCUUCAACACAACUGCCACGGCUGUCUAGUCCCUCUUUCCACUGAAAUACUGCUGUAGGCACAACGGUUAGGCACUUUUUUAAGACUGGAGGGAGAAACAAGGUCGGUGUCGACUGUCGGAAAGUCUACAGAAGAGAUGGCAUUUACCACUCUUCAUGGCAUUUUUCUCUAGGUUUUUAAAAACGUUUAAUAAAAAUAUUAUAAAUUGAAGAUGAGAAUAAAUAAUUAUGUUUUUAUAUUAUGGGAAAACUAGGAAUAUAUGAAACUGAAGACAAUAGAGAAAAAUCUUCAACCUAUUCAGUUUAACAAAAUAAAAAAUACAUUAAAAAGUCCUUUACUCCCAUCUGGUUACAAUGAAAUCACAAAAAGGGGUAUAAAAGGCUAAUUUUUCUAGUAAAAUCACAAAAAGCAACAGGCUUCCAGAAUUCCAAGCAGCUUGUAGAUUCUAAGAAACUUACAUUUCAGUGUCAAAUGCAUUAACUACUGUUGAGCCUGCGGUGAGCUUACAAUCAGUUAACGGAUCCCACUGCAGACGGAGGAGCACUAACUCGAGUUGUACCUGCGCUCCUGCGUGCAAACACAGCACAUGUCCCUAAGACCUAAGCAUCCAAACUAAGGAUGGACCCAUUGACAUCUGUCCUGCACUGGUGUGGACAAAGAGAGAGCAGUUAGGCUAAGGGUUCUGCCAUGGAGUUACAUCUUCAGUGCACAGCCCUCUUUUUCCUUCCCUUUUUUUUUUUUUUUUUGAGACAGGGUCUCCCUGUGUAGCCCUGGCUGGCCUCAAACUUACAGAGAUCUUCCCAGCCUCUACCUCCCAAGUGCUCCGAUUACAUGUGUGCAGCUCGGCCUGACCUUUUUCAUCAGGACAGAAUUCUGUCUUGUAUUUUUACAGAAUCAAUACAAACUGACAGGCAUUGGUAUCUUCACUUCACAGUUUGUUACAGGUCAAAUGCUUUAAGCUUGUGGUUAUAUUUUAUGUAUUAUAAAUGUGGUCACAGAAACAAGAACCACCCUGGGUUUGUGCAAUGUUAGCAAACGUUUCUAACUACUACAGUUGUGCCCAAGCCUCUGUCCCCCUCAUUUGGCCAAUAUGAAAAUGAGUCAAUGUGGCUACACAUGAUAGGUCUAAUUCCAUGGUCAAGUGAGUCAAUGUGGCUACACAUGAUAGGUCUGCUUCUUUAAGGUCAAGAUUUCUCUUUCAAUGUUUUUACAUUUCAUUUUAUAUUUAAGUAACAAUCAAGAUUUAUAUAUUAUUCCUUCUCUUUAGUUGCUCUUGAUAAAGUGGUAGUCUCCAUUGCUUUCCCUGUUUUUCCUCAGUUGAAUCACUUUCUCAGUCUCAUCAGGUAUCUCAGAGUUUGGGAGGUCAAGUUCUUUAAGGGCACGCACUGUCUCCAUGCUUACUUAACCUUUCGCUCUCAUGGCUUUAGAGAUCAGCUUUACUUUCCCCAGGGGCAUCCGAGGAGCAGCUGAGAAAAAGUCAGGUUUGCAGACGAAAAGUGCUGUGGUCUCACUUUGGAGGCAGAAGCUUAGGUUUGAGGUCACGUCUCAGCCUUGAGACUGCUGAGCUCCAGAAGGUGAGUCAGAAAACUGGCUUUAAAAGCAUUUAAUACUGCCUGUAAGCAGUGCUAUCCAGUGAGGAGUCUGAAUAAAGACAAAACCAUGGGUUUUAUACAAAAUAAUGAAAGAGAAAAAUGAAAAACUAACACAAAGUCUUCAAAGUAAAGAAAAUUCAAUUACUGCAAGGCAGUAAUAGAAUCAGAGAUCUACAGAACAAACAUUCAUGUAAGACACAAUACAACUAUUUCUGAAAUUGCAAGUUCUGUAUGGUCAAGCAUGACAACUAGGGAUACAAGGGACACCUCAACAACACGAAGGCCAUUAACAACCAGCCCACAGCCAACAUCAACUCAAGUGGAAAGAAACUCAGAGCGUUUCCACUAUAAACAGGAACGAGACAAGGAUGUCCACUCUCUCCACAUCUAUUCCACUUAUAAACUAGAGCACUCUUAGCCAGAGCAACAGGACAACUGAAGGAGACACCGAGAUGCACAAUGGAAGGAAGAAGUUAGUGUCUUUAUCUGGGUGGCAUGACAGACAGUGUCCACCAGGGAACUUCUGCAGCUAGGAAACACUUUCAACAAAUGCAGGAUACAAGUCUAACAUACAAAACCCAGUAGCUUUCCUACCUAUAAAUAACAAAUGAACAGAGAAAGAUAGCAGAGAACAGCACCUUCCAUAGAGCAUAAGUAUAUAUCAUAGGUUAACUCUAUUCUAUAAUAAAAACAUUGAAGGCAUUAAAAGAAGAAAUCAAAGAAGCUACCAGCAGAUGGAGAGGUCUCCCAUGCUCAUGGAUUAGCAUAGUGAAAUGGACAUCUUACCACAAGUAAUGUACAGACUCAAUGCAAUCCCCAUCAAUUCCACACAGUUCUUCACAGAACUUGUGAGGUCGAUUUUCAACUUCAAAAAAACUAAAACCAAAACCGAAACACAGGCUAGCUAAAACUAUCCCAAUCAAUAAAAGAACGGCUGGAGGCAUCUGACUCCAUCUUUCAAGUUGCAUUCCAGAGCUGUAAUAAAAAAACUGCAUGGUGUGGCAGAAAAACACACACAUACUCACAUUGAUCAAUGGAAUCAAAUUGAAGACACAGCCAUAAGUCCACAUACCAAUGGACACCUAAUUUUUGAUAAAUAAGUCAGAAAUAUACACUAGAAAAAAAGCAUCUUCCAACAAAUAGUGCUGGUCAAACAGGGUGGCUGUGUGUGGAAAUUGCAGAGAUCCAGUCUUUUCACGCUGCACAAGACAACUGCAAGGGAAUCAAGGACCUAAUGUAAGGCCAGGCACGUGGGAUGUGUCUGAAGGUAAAGUGGGAAAGAGUCUUGAACUCACUGGCAUAGGAGAACUCUGAACAGAAGACCACAGAAAGCACAGAACCAAUGAGCAAUUAAUGAAUGGAUUCUCGUAAACCUGAGAAGCUUCUGUAUGGCAAAGGACAUCAUCGUUUGGGAAGAAAGUAGCAUCUGAUAGAGGGCUAAUAUCUAAAAUCUAUGAAAAACUCAAAGAACUGCACACAAGGAAAGCCAAUCAGCAGCACGGUAACCCACACCUUUGAUCCCACCACUUUGGAGACAGAGGCAAGCAGCUAUCUGAGUUCCAAGCUAGCCUGGUCUAUAGCAUGAGUUCCAGGCCAACCACAGCUACACAGUAAAGCCCUGUCUUGAAUGAAGGAAAAAAAAAAAAAAGAAAAGAAAAACUUGAAUUAAAAAAAUCGGGUAUCGAUCUAAAUGAGAAUUCUCAAAAGUAGAAACUCAAAUGACCAAGAAGUGCUUCAAUGUCCAACAUCCUUAAUCCUCAGAGAUGUGCAGAUCAAAACUACUUUUGAAAAUACAUCUUUUACCAAUCGAAACGGUCACAAUCAGUAAAACAAAUGACGGCUCCUGCAGGUGAGAAUGUAUUUAAAAGGGAGCGCUCCUGUGCUGCUGUUGGGAGUGCAAGUCUGUAGAGGCACUAGGAAAUCAGU
rnacentral:sRNA from 1 species